rnacentral:rRNA from 1 species
AGACCCGAAACCCGGUGAUCUAGCCAUGGGCAGGUUGAAGGUUGGGUAACACUAACUGGAGGACCGAACCGACUAAUGUUGAAAAAUUAGCGGAUGACCUGUGGCUGGGGGUGAAAGGCCAAUCAAACCGGGAGAUAGCUGGUUCUCCCCGAAAGCUAUUUAGGUAGCGCCUCGUGAAUUCAUCUCCGGGGGUAGAGCACUGUUUCGGCUAGGGGGCCAUCCCGGCUUACCAACCCGAUGCAAACUGCGAAUACCGGAGAAUGUUAUCACGGGAGACACACGGCGGGUGCUAACGUCCGUCGUGAAGAGGGAAACAACCCAGACCGCCAGCUAAGGUCCCAAAGUCAUGGUUAAGUGGGAAACGAUGUGGGAAGGCCCAGACAGCCAGGAUGUUGGCUUAGAAGCAGCCAUCAUUUAAAGAAAGCGUAAUAGCUCACUGGUCGAGUCGGCCUGCGCGGAAGAUGUAACGGGGCUAAACCAUGCACCGAAGCUGCGGCAGCGAACGUAUCACUUAAAGCGAUUCAGCGGGUUACGAUUGACGGAGCGAAGCGACGUCAAAGCGUAUAUAAAGUCGAGUCGGUUUAAGGAUACGUUCGUUGGGUAGGGGAGCGUUCUGUAAGCCUGUGAAGGUGGCCUGUGAGGGUUGCUGGAGGUAUCAGAAGUGCGAAUGCUGACAUAAGUAACGAUAAAGCGGGUGAAAAGCCCGCUCGCCGGAAGACCAAGGGUUCCUGUCCAACGUUAAUCGGGGCAGGGUGAGUCGACCCCUAAGGCGAGGCCGAAAGGCGUAGUCGAUGGGAAACGGGUUAAUAUUCCCGUACUUGGUGUUACUGCGAAGGGGGGACGGAGAAGGCUAUGUUGGCCGGGCGACGGUUGUCCCGGUUUAAGCGUGUAGGUGUGUGUUCCAGGUAAAUCCGGUUCACUUUAACACUGAGGCGUGACGACGAGGCACUACGGUGCUGAAGCAACAAAUGCCCUGCUUCCAGGAAAAGCCUCUAAGCAUCAGGUAACAUCAAAUCGUAC